GCUGAGGGAGGAAGAAGAGCAGAAAAGUCAGAUGCUGAAGGAGAAGAGUGAAGAGAUGAUGAGAGAGAUGAAUCCGAUUCAUAAAGGAUGAGCUCAAAGCUGGGGAUAUUUCAUUCCUAUACAGAACUUCAACUAUACAAUGGAAUGAGCCCAAUGCACACAACAAGAUCCAGAAAAUAUUCCAAGAUCUUUGCUAGAUGUGGCAAAACAUCUUGGAAAUCUUAAGUUUAGAGUAUGGGAGAAGAUGCAGCACAUUGUUCAAUACAG